GCGAGUGGAUCCCUUCGGGGUGAAGCUCGUGGAACGAGCGGCGGACGGGUGAGUAACACGUGGGCAACCUGCCUGUAAGAUCGGAAUAACCCCGGGAAACCGGGGCUAAUGCCGGGUAAUACUUUCUUUCGCAUGAAGGAAAGUUGAAAGAUGGCUUCUUGCUAUCACUUACAGAUGGGCCCGCGGCGCAUUAGCUAGUUGGUGAGGUAACGGCUCACCAAGGCGACGAUGCGUAGCCGACCUGAGAGGGUGAUCGGCCACACUGGGACUGAGACACGGCCCAGACUCCUACGGGAGGCAGCAGUAGGGAAUCUUCCGCAAUGGACGAAAGUCUGACGGAGCAACGCCGCGUGAACGAUGAAGGUCUUCGGAUCGUAAAGUUCUGUUGUUAGGGAAGAACAAGUACCGUGCGAAUAGAGCGGUACCUUGACGGUACCUAACGAGGAAGCCCCGGCUAACUACGUGCCAGCAGCCGCGGUAAUACGUAGGGGGCAAGCGUUGUCCGGAAUUAUUGGGCGUAAAGCGCGCGCAGGCGGUUCCUUAAGUCUGAUGUGAAAGCCCACGGCUCAACCGUGGAGGGUCAUUGGAAACUGGGGAACUUGAGGACAGAAGAGGAGAGUGGAAUUCCACGUGUAGCGGUGAAAUGCGUAGAUAUGUGGAGGAACACCAGUGGCGAAGGCGACUCUCUGGUCUGUUUCUGACGCUGAGGUGCGAAAGCGUGGGUAGCAAACAGGAUUAGAUACCCUGGUAGUCCACGCCGUA
rnacentral:rRNA from 1 species